GACGUAGGUGGCAAGCGUUGUCCGGAGUUAUUGGGCGUAAAGCGCGCGCAGGCGGUUCGAAAAGUCCAUGGUGAAAGCGCUCGGCUUAACUGAGCGAGUGCCCGUGCGGACUGGGGAGCUCGAGUUCUGUAGAGGCGGGUGGAAUUCCGGGUGUAGCGGUGGAAUGCGUAGAGAUCCGGAAGAACACCGGUGGCGAAGGCGGCCCGCUGGGCAGAGACUGACGCUGAGGCGCGACAGCGUGGGGAGCCAAACAGG
rnacentral:rRNA from 1 species